ensembl:lncRNA
AAAUAAAUGUAGAAAAUAACCUAUAAAUACUGUUGUCCGUCAUAACUUGUUGCAGUCAAGGACACCAAAAACACAGAAGUUGUCGCAAAAAAGAAAGGGAGAAGAAGUUGUCAAAAGACACGUCUGCCAUGCGAGGAAUGUGCAGAGCGGACAUCGUCCGGAAACUUUCUUUAUUCAAAGAUCCUAAAAACAAGAGGGGAUCUGGCAUUUAUUCGAUGGCGUCCGUGUGCGACCUGUGGGACCAAAUGGAAGAACAGUUGGGAGCCUUUGUCAUGCCUUUGAGAUGUUGGAGUUAGCACCAGUUUGGAGUUUGACAUUGUAAUUUUAAUCAGUGCAAAUAAAAAAGAAUAUCAUUCAUUUGUUCAUUUUCAAUUUUUUAAUGAGCGUAAUAUGGUUCAUUUUACUGGACUUUUACUCUGUAUAGCCAUUAAUAAAUAUAUCUUUGUGCAUAAGUGUUGAGGUCAUAAUAUAAGUAUCAAAAGAACAAAGGCCUGUAUACUGUAUUCUGUAAUACAUUGUAUCACACGAUCUUAAAGUCGUCUGUGUGAUGUGUAUCAGUACGUCACUGUGCAAGUUGCAAAUUUUACCAGUGGCUGUUUUUAAAAAUGUACAUAAAAUAUUUUAAAUAAAACAUUCAAGUAUCCCAGUCACUGACUUUUACUAAAAGUGUGUGACUUACGAUCUCCUGAUGUUUAAAACUGUUUAGAUAAAACCAGAUGGCAAAAUUGGGUCCCAGCAUGGGAUAAAUCUUCCCGCUAUAUAAGGCCUGUAUGUACGCGCUGUCAUUUUCGUGCUGCUUGUGUUUUAAACAGUACAUUGCUAGGUAAUGCAUUUCACUCACUGAAUUAGCGGUUUUCAGUUUGAUAAAUAAAUACAAAAUGAGUAAAAGAAGGUGAUUUAUGAAUGCUGAAGCACUAAAUGUCUGAUGGUGGGAGAUAAGUUUUAAGGGUACUCAGAAUUGUUCAACGUUUUGAUUAUUUAUUUUCAGUUUUGCCAUUUCUGUUGUUUAUUGUUCGCUUCUGUGUUGCUAUCAAUUCUAGUCUGCCUGUUUCCUAAAGAAGAAAAAUCUGAUCUGAUGUAAUAAAUAAAACCUCUCUCUCUCUAUCUCUCUCAUCUCUUUACCCAAAUUUUAUUGGUGUUCUUCUUGUAUAAUUCAAAUUAUAAAUUAUAUAACUAAACAAAAUAAUAAUGAAUUAGGUGAAGCUGUGCACUUGUCAUGGCAUCAUCCUAUGCAAUGUGGUGAAUUAUUAAUUGCCCAUAGACUAUUCUAGUAAUUUAAAUAACAUUGGUUAUCUUAAUAUAUUGAUUCAUGACAUUGUAUUAUAAUAGCCUAUUACACCACCCAAAUAUGUAUUAACUUCCUUCCUAAUUCUCGUUGUCAGUGCAGGCUUGUUUAGCUUAAUACUGACCGUUAUGAAAAGUGAAUAGUGUAGCCUGCAUAAAAAUGUAUUAAACAUAAAACAACAGGACAAAAAUAUAGUUGAUGACUACACAUAAUAAUUUUGUGACUUUAGGGACUUCUUUGUGAAGACAGU